rnacentral:lncRNA from 1 species
ACCUUUGUCAUCAUCUAUCGGUUAGAAGCAAGUCACAGGUCUUGCCCACACUCAGUGAGAGGGAUUACAUGAAUGUGUGACCACCAGGAGAUGGUAACAAUUGGGGUCAUGAGGGGAUAUGACUGCUACAAUCUCCCAUCAUCAAAAACAAAAACAGGAAUCUGGCUGCUCCUCCUUGCUGUCUUUUGCUCAUGAAGCUGCCUAAAGGGUGACUCAGCACUAUGCAACUUCCAGGUACCAACUAUGAGAUGCCAAAGUCCAUCCAAAGGAUGGACCCAAGGCUACUGGAUCUUAAGGUUUCAGACAAGUGUGUGAGACUUUGUACAUGAAGUUGGAGAAUGCCUCACUCUCUACCCUGUACAGGGUUGUGAUCCAGAGCUGGAUUUCAGACCCCUGUUUCUACAGGAACUCUAAACAAGCCCAGACACUCGGCUGGGAAGUGAGAGACUCAAAACAACAUAAGGAAAACAGAGUGUGAGUGGGGUUAGAAAGAGGAAAAACAGCAAGCCAAGUUGAAUCACUCAUCCUGAGAGGCAUUCAAAUACAGAGUUAUGGAGAAAGCGACUUUCCUCCACAAGGGUAAACCCCUCAACAGCAGCUGGUAAACCUCAGUCCACAGCGCAGAGUGUGAGAAAGGGAAGAUUUCAAACAACUUAAAUACAAAGAAAACACUUUUUUAAAACAUUAGUGAUUCUUUUCCACAUUUCCCUUUAGGCUCUAUUCAUACGGAAAAUAUUCCGCUACACCUCACAGCAAUAUAUCUUAUUUUUUUUAAUAUGCAGCAACCGUCAGCCAACUCAUAGCUGAAGCAGGGACACUGUGCAGCUCUUGGAGCUUGUUCUUAGUAUGUGUUCAGAGGGCUAAUACUCUGUCAAGCAGGGCGGAUGAUAGCCAGAGCAAACAGCCACGGUCCCCACGGUGGAAAAUAACGUUGCCAGAAAAUUCCGCACAUCUGGAAAGAACAGCAAUGAACAGGAACUUGUGCAUUCGUGCUAGGCUCCUACUGGGCCCGCUUCGUUUCAUUUCCUCCAUUUUUAUGACACUUUCCCAUGCUGCUACUCCAGACAUUCCAUCAAACACCUCGCCACGAACAAAUUGAAAGGGAAGGAAAUCUAAAGAAAGUCUGACUGAAUUUCUGAGUGUCUCAUCACUAGAAUGACCAGGAAAACCUGCCAGGAGUGUAGAUUCAGGCCCCUAAUCCCACUUCUCUGCAGUCUCCUCUUGGUCUCUGUGUAUAAGCUCUCCUGCCUUUUUGCACCUCUAAUCCAUUGUCAGACAAACUGGCCUACUUGUGUUUGCCUCUGAGAGCCUGUCCACUUCCUCACGUUAGGAGAAAGAACACAAAGAAUCCUAGCUUUGAUUCAGUUUUCCAUACUUCAGCCAUCAGUCUACCAUCAAGCACAUUUUUUACUGGGCAAAUGAAAAGUCAUUGCUUUCAAUUUUUUUUUUUUUUUUUUAGACUGAAUCUCACCUGUCACCCAGGCUGGAGUGCAGUGGCACAAUCUCGGCUCACUGCAACCUCUGCCUCCCAGGUUCUAGCAAUUCUCCUGCCUCAGCCUCCCAAGUGGCUGGGAUUGCAGGUGCCCACCACCAUGUCCAGCUAAUUUUUUUGUAUUUUGAGUAGAGACGGGGUUUCACCAUGUUGACUAGGCUGGUUUUAAACUCCUGACCUCAAAUGAUCCACCCACCUCAGCCUCCCAAAGUACUAGGAUAAUAGGUGUGAGCCACAGCACCCCGCCAAUAUUUUUGUUUCUAAUAAAACAAGAACUAGUAGUGCACUCCGUCUAGAGCAAGAUAGUGUGGUGGGGACAGGGAGCAAGUAGGUAGGGGAUAAAUAGGUCAAGAACUGAAUUCACAAUUGAGGCUUUAAGCUUGAUAAGAAAUAAAGCAAGUUUGAAUCA